CAGUCGCCACGGUAAUUCGGAGGGUGCAAGCGUUAAUCGGAAUUACUGGGCGUAAAGCGUGCGUAGGCGGUUCGUUAAGUCUGUUGUGAAAGCCCCGGGCUCAACCUGGGAAUGGCAAUGGAUACUGGCGAGCUAGAGUGUGUCAGAGGAUGGUGGAAUUCCCGGUGUAGCGGUGAAAUGCGUAGAGAUCGGGAGGAACAUCAGUGGCGAAGGCGGCCAUCUGGGACAACACUGACGCUGAGGCACGAAAGCGUGGGGAGCAAACAGGAUUAGAGACCCCCGUAGUCCCUGUCUCUUAUAC
rnacentral:rRNA from 1 species